rnacentral:ncRNA from 1 species
AUCUUCAGGGCAGGGUGGAAAUCCCUACCGGCGGUAAAGUCCGCGAGCCUUUUUGGGUUGAGCUGGUGUAAUUCCAGCACCGACAGUAUAGUCUGGAUGGGAGAAGAA